rnacentral:lncRNA from 1 species
CCUUGUUUAGUUUAUUUAUCUAAAAUGUAAAAUUUAUUAUUUAAUUUAUAAGAAUAAUAUUAACUAAAAACAAUUUUUUAAAAUCAAUAUUAUUUAUUGUGAUUUAAGAACAAGAUUAAAUAAAGCUGUAAUAGGGCCCAAUUGACCCAGGUCCAAACAAAAUUAAAAAACAGUCCAACAAAUACAGGUCCAAAACUAACCUAAACCCCAAAUCAUUAAACCAAACCCCAAAACAACCCUGGCCCAAAGAAAAAGAAAGAACCCUAGCCCUAAGGAGCGCCGCAGCAAGCCUUCAGGUGCGCCCAGCAGCCUCGCGUCGCACCUAACGCCCAGUCGCCGCACAACUCGGAGGUCGACCCCUCUCCACACACGUCACCUGUGAAAACACGGACUUAGAGAGUCCCAGAGAGAAGAAGCAGCAAAAAACAGCAUUUAGAUUAUUUUAUUUUCUUUAUUUUCGGCCUAUAAAAUGCCUAUCAAAUCUGUAAAAGAGGGGGGGGGGGAUAUACAGAGAGAUGGAUAAAAAAUUGAAAGAAAAGCAGAGAAUACACAGUUUUAAGGUGAAUCGGUUUUUUUUUUAUAUUUAUGUUUUCUUCUUCUUCUUUUUUUUUGCGUUUUAAAAAAAAAACAAAUAAUAACAAAGAAAAGGGGAAAAAUUUUACCCCAUUCACCAAGGACGCCGGACCGGUGGCCGUUUCCGUCGUGAUCGGAGCGCCGUUGUGGGCCGAAGGCGGUGCGAGGACGGUAGGGUCCCAAGCCCUAGCAGAGCAUUAGAGAAACGUUUUUUUAUUUUUAUUUUUUUAUUUUUUUUUCUUUCAUUCGGCUUCAAAUGACUUUUGAGGGGAAAAUUUGGUUUUAAAUAACGUUCAAAACGGCGUCGUUUCGCCCUGGUGUAACCCGCGCGGUGACCCGACCCGAAGGGGAGGAUCCGCGCGCUCUGACGUCACUUGGGCUAUUUGCGCAAUUGGCCCCUCCUAUUUGCAGCGUAAUUCAAUUAGACUUGUUUUGUUUUCUUAGAAAUUGGGCCGCACAUUUAAUUUUUGUUUCAAUUUGGCCCCUUUGCUGCGCAGUGUUUUGUGAGGACGGGAUAAUUUCUCUUUUAGUCCCCCAUAGUUACGCGCGUGUUCAAGUGGGCCCUUUCUUUUAAAAUUUUAUUCAAAAUUCGCCCCAUUUUUUGUUUUUAAGUUCAAUUUAGCCCAAUUCAACUAUUUUUCUCGUUUUUUUUUAAAUAUUUAUUAUUGUUAUAUUAUUUAUUAUUAUGAUUAUUAUUAUUUCUAUAUUCUUAUACGUAUAUAUAUAUUUUAAAUAUAUACAUUUUUAUAUAUGUAUUUUUAAACUUUUUGAAUAACUUGCAUACCUUUUAUACAUACGUUAUAUAUAUGUAUAUAUAUUUUUUUUAUAUUUAAAAAAAAACUUUUAUAUGCUUUAUAUUUUAUGUAUAUACUUAUACAUUUUUUUAUUUUUAUAUACACAUAUACAUUUUUUUAUCUUUAUUUUAUUUUCAUAAUUUUCACAUACAUAUAUACAUAUACAUGCAUUUUAUUAGUUUUUUUUUGGGCUUGAUGUAUUUCGUUUUUUUUUUCUGUUUGUAAAUUUACUUGUAUAUUGUAUUUGUAUAUAUUUGUAAAUAUUUAUCCAUUUAUGUUUGAAAUUAGGGUAUCUGUUCCAUGUUUUACCUUAACCCUUUUCAGCAUCCAUUUUAAAAAUAUUUUUUUUGAUUUUCUCAAGGAAUUUAAAUCAUCCUGUUUUAUAAUUUUAAAUAUUUGGUAUUCAUAAUUCUCAUGAAAGAUCGUGUCCUAACUUACUGGAUCGCGAUUAUUUUUCGAUGAAUUUAGGAAGCCAAGUAUUUGUUUUGCAACAAAUUCACAAAUUUUAAAUAAAAGCUUAUUCUCGGGAAUUCAGAAUGUUGGGUCCUAACUUACUGGUCAUGACAUUUUCUUCUCGAAAUAAGAAUUUUCAAAAACAAAAGGCAAUAUUCGGGUAUUUUGAAGAUUUAAAAACAUUGUGUCCUAACUUACUAGGUGUGGUGUUUUAUUUCUUUGAAAUAAGAAUUGUCUUAUUAUUUUAAUCCAUUCAUGAGAUAAAAAGUUUUCUUUUAAAUUCUUUUCAAAUUUUCGACACUAAGGCAUUUUAAAAAAUCAAUUUGGUACCAAUUUUGGGCGUUACGAGGGUGCUAAUCCUUCCUCGUGCGUAACCGACUCCCGAACCUGUUUUCUCAAUUUUCGCAGGCCAAAAUUAUUUUUAAGGUGGGCCGAUCACACCUUAAUAAAGGUUCGGUGGCGACUCCCAUUUUCGUUUUUAAAAGUCGACAACUGAAAUUUUUGUUUUCAAAAGACGGUUUCGACAGCUUGGCGACUCCGCUGGGGACCCUAGAGAGUCGAGCCAUAAACUGAUCAUAUUUGUCCUUGUGUCGAAAAUUACAAGUUUUUUAAAAAUUCAUGAGUUCCCUUUGCGCUCAUUGAUGUUUUUUAUCAUGGUAUUUUGGAAACUUUGCAUUUGCAUUUUGCAUUUUGCCCUUAAGUGGGAGUAAGAAACUAGUCCUUCGUGAGGUUUUCACCUCCGUGCAGGGUAGUGGAUCGCUUCCGGGAUACAUCCGUACCUAUGUCUUCGUGAGAUUUUCAUCUCCGUGCAGCCAUAGGGAAAUGUGUCCCCCUGAACUGAACUCGAUCUAUAUGAGCCUAUAAUGGGUGAGGAUUGAGAAAUCUGCUGGUUCGGGUACCCUUACUCUAGAAACUAAGCCUCAUAUAGUGAGCUUUAGGAACUUGCCUUAGGUAGAACUACUCCAAAACCCUAGUAGAUUCCUAAUAAGUGUUCUUGCCAUGUUAUUAUAUUUUUAUAUGUGAUACUGACUUGUUUCAUUUUGCUUUGAUUGCAUGACAUCACGAUUGCAUGACAUUUCAUUGUAAAGGCGUUGGUUCAUAUUCGGUUGCCAUAUAGAAAGUUUAUCAUGGGAAAUGGGUUUCUUGAUAGAGUGGAAGACAAUGCGGCUGUCCGGACCUGGUCUAAGAAGAUACAGCUUGAAAAAGGUGAUAGUUUGGCCGUGGGAUACGUAUCAGAGUUAUGGGACUUCACUCGUGUUAGUGUAGCUCAGAACAACUUGCAGGAAUUGAAGGAGAUUUGGGAUCAAUGGGAUAAUGAGGUUAGGCAGUUAUUCUAUUUAAAUUAUGGGGAUUUACCUUAUUUACUUGACAUGAAGGUAGACAAGCGUCUGUUUCGAGCUCUUGCCCAAUUUUGGAAUCCGGCCUACAGUUGCUUUACAUUCGGGAAGGUUGAUCUGGUGCCUACAAUAGAGAAGUACACGGCUUUACUUCGGUGUUCAAAGGUUCAGGAGGAUAGAAUUUAUUCAAAAGCGAUGAAUGUACCAACCUUCAUGAGGAAGUUGAUGAGUAUAACAGGGAUGAGUGAGCAGUGGGUUAUAGCUCGGAUUAAGCAAAAAGGGGAUAGUAGGUGCAUUCCUUGGAAAAGCUUGAAGGACCUCAUCUUAGUACACCCAGAUGCGAGGAAGAAAGUAGACAUUUUUGCUCUAAGUAUAUAUGGUCUAAUCUUGUUUCCUAAGAUUUUGGGACAUGUUGACGAGACGGUCACUGAUUUAUUCGAUCGGCUUGAUAAGGGAGUUACACCAGUCCCGGUAAUUUUGGCAGAAACCUUUAGAUCAUUGAAUACAUGUCGAAGAAUGGGAGAGGGUAGAUUUAUUGGAUGUGCGCAGCUACUACUUGCGUGGUUCCACAGCCACUUUUGGAAGGUUGAUAAGGUUUCAUAUCAAGUCUUUUCUGAGAGUUAUUCACCGUUGAAAGAGAUAGUGGCUACGUCAAGGAGUGAUGACAUCUCGGAGGAGAAAUGGAUGGCAAUCUUUCAGAGUCUGCAAGAAGAAUAUAUCGAGUGGAGAGCUCCGUGGUUGCUUCUAGAUGAUAUCCUAUAUAGGUGUGGGGAUUUCGACUGGGUUCCAUUGCUCGGGAUUUGGGGAGCUGUUGGUUAUGCCCCAUUGCUAGUAUUAAGACAAUACCGGUCAAGAUAGUUUGUGCCUGCCACUCAAGGAUUAGCUGAGUGUGAAUUCUCAUACAAGGAUGAUGGCUAUAAAAGAAAGGCUCCUGAGAUGGCCAAUGCGUGGAAUCAGACUCGCCGAAUGAAGAGAUUAGCCUUGGGUCCAAUGACAACUUCUGACUAUAACAAAUGGCGUGUUAGGAGGAUUAAUGACAACAUUCCUGGGCCAAGUUCAGAAAAUAGUCAGUCGAUAGAGGAGCAUUUGCGCGUCAUCCCUUCUGAGCUGGAAAUCAUAAAGCAAGACCUCGAAAGAAGGAAUGCAGAAUUAGAAAAUAAAAUAGAGCAAAUGGAGGAAGAAAAGGUGAAUUUAAAGUUGGACAUAGAUGUUCAAAAGCAGGAAACCGAAGGCCUGAGAAAAGGGAAGCGUAAAGUUGAGGAAGAUCUGAACAGCUUGAAGACGGAUUAUAAAAGACUACGUCUGUCAGUAAGAACUGCUGGGUUGGGGAAAACCUCAGAAUAGUGGCGUCAAGAGGUUCAAGUAGAAAAAGCCAAGGCCGGUAGAUGGGAAGAAAGAUUCCAGGAAGCCCAGAUGCAAAACAGAUCGCUCGAGAAGAAUUUGUUAGAAAAUCAAGAUGAAAGAGAUAAAUUAAAAGCUAGAGUGGCUGAACUUGAGAAAAUUGUUUAUCAAUACCGAAAUCGUAACUCGGUGGCAGAACUAUAAGCAAGUUUAAGUAGAAUCGAGCAAAUGAAGAAAACUAUAGAAGAACUAGAAGUGGCAUUACAGAACGGUGAAGCCAGGAUUGAGUAUUUGGAGGCAAACAAAGAUCAUCAAAGCGAACAGCUUCACUAUCUCCAGAAUCAGGUCAGAAGCAGGGAUCGUGUUAUGGGACAAGCCUUGGUUCAGAUUCGAGAAGUAGCUGAUCACUUACAAACCCUGGCAGUACAAGCUGACACAUUGAGCGUAAAGUAUGAAUAAGAGUCAGACCGGGGACGGGAGUUAGCCUCGUUACUUUAAAAAAUCAAGGUCUUAAGUAUUAGGGCAAAGUAGUAUUUGUAGUCUAUUCUAUGUAAAGGGAUUUGUUUUCUAAUAAAGUUUUCCAAGUGAAAUUGAAUCAUAAUUAAUGCCUUUCUCGCAUUCAUCUCAUGCAUCGCAUCAUAUGCAUUCAAAACCUUUAAUUGAUCCUAAUUAAUUAAAAUUAUUUCUCAGUUAACCUGGAAACCAACCAACCAACCCGACACCGAUACGGCACUCGAGCAAAGACAAAAGAUAUGGAUCAGAGAUUAGAAAAGCUUGAACAGCACCAGAAUGAGAUGCGAGACCGGCUUCAGCUACAAAUGCAGGAACGGUUAGGCAAGAUGAAGUAAGAAAUGUCUGAGAAGAUGCGGGAAUCUCAAGAGGAUAUAGUGGCAAAGUUAACCCGAUUGAUAACAAAGGGAGGUGACAAAGGAAAGGGCCCCAUGGCAGAUGUUGAUGAGGCAAACGAUGAUGAACUUUUCUAUCCUCCAGGUUUUACCCCUCCACAUGAGCGAGCUCAAGCUGAAUACCCGCGCAAAUCUACUGUCACCAUCAUGCCUCAGCAAUUUCGAGCUGGUAUUUCAAACCUCCAAACUGGGCCGGGUUUUAAUCCCGAAAACAAUCCUAUUAACACUGCCAUCCCUGACUUUGAUGAAGUGGUUGAGAAGGAAAGAGUGAAGGAAGAGUUACCGAAGCAGUUGGAAGAAAGAUGCAAGUGGCUCGAAGAGAAGUUCAAGGCGAUGGAGGUUGCUGAGAGUUAUCGAGGCAUUGACGCGAAAGAGCUGAGUUUAGUGCCAGAUUUAGUACUCCCUCAUAAAUUUAAGAUGCCUGAAUUUGAAAAGUACAAUGGGACAAGCUGCCCAGUAGCUAACAUCACCAUGUUCUGCAGGCGAAUGACGGGUUAUGUUAACAACGACCAACUCUUAAUACACUGUUUCCAAGACAGCCUUACUGGGGCAGCAUCCAAGUGGUACAAUCAGUUGAGUCGUGCCACGAUUGGAUCAUGGAGAGACUUGGCACAAUCGUUCAUGAAACAAUAUAGUCAUGUGACUGACAUGGCUCUUGACAGAAUCACCCUUCAGAACAUGGAGAAAAAGCCGAGUGAAAGUUUCAGGUAGUACGCACAGAGAUGGAGGGAGGUCGCAGUCCAAGUUCAGCCACCACUCCUGGAAAAGGAAAUGAACAUGUUGUUCAUCAACACCCUGAAGGCACCGUUCAUUACACAUAUGUUAGGAAGUGCCACAAAAAGCUUUCCUGACAUAGUCAUGAACGGCGAGAUGAUUGAGAACGCCAUCAGGAGUGGGAAGAUCGAUGCUGGAGAGAGUAACAGAAGAUCGACCUCGAGGAAUAAGGAGAGUGAGGUGAACAACACGAGCAUGUACAACAAGGGUUACUCGAAGUCAGUAACAGUGAGUCAGCUAGGAAAGGUGGCUGCUAGUCAGCAAAACUCGUCGAGACAGGAGGUCAGUACAAGGCGAAAUGUUGAGAGGCCUCAAUUCACGCUGUAAUGGCCCAAAUUUGAGGUUAUCGGAAUAGUGGUUUCGGGACCACAAAUCCGAUGAGAAAAAUUUUAUUUUUCUUAUAUUUUUAUGGUCUACAAUUUCACAAAAUGAUUUUUUGAAAAUUUCGUUCGAAAAUUUCGACGUUUGGGCACUCAAUUUAGUCAAAAGGACUAAAUUGUAAAAAGUGCAAAAGUUGAGUUCUACAUGUUAGAGGUGUCCAAUUGUUAUGAAACUUUAAAUUGGAGGUCCUUAUAUGGUAAUUAUACCAUUGGUAACUUGGUAGACAAAAAUGGACAUGAGAUAAGUGAAAUAGAAAAUUUUUAAGUUAGGGGCAAUUUGGUAAUCUAGUAAUUAAAAUGAAUUAAAAGGGAAAAAGAUGGCAAAAAUCAUCAUCUUCUUCAUAUGAACGAAAUCAGCAAGGGGGGAAGCCAUAGUUAGGGUUUUCAAGCUUCCAAGAUCCAUAGUAAGUGAUCCCAAGCCCCGUUUUUAAUGUUCUUUACGUUUUUGAGAUCCCGGUAGCUUAAUUUAGCUUAUUCUAGCAAUAAUUUAACCUAGGGUUUAUAUUUGGAAAAAUACCCAUAGGUGAAAGUGUUUAUUUUGAUGUUUUAUGAUAGAAUAUGAAGCUAUAAAUUAUGUUAAACAACUUUUGCUAAGCGAUUUUAAGUGAAAACGAGUAAAACGACAUAAUCGGUAAAAAUACCUAAUGUUCAUAAGUACAUGUUAGAGUGGGAAUUUGAUGUUGCCAUAGAAGGGAAAAAUGUUCAGAAUGUUAUAAAACAUAAGAAUAAGAGAUGAAGUUUAAUUUCCGAGCCUUGGGGCAAAAAUGUAAUUAUGUAAAAGUUUAGGGGCAAAAUUGUAAUUUUGAAAAGUUAGAGUUGAGGGCUGUUUUGAUGAAUGUGAGAAUUAAAUAAGUUAAAUUUGCUAUUUUAGAUCAAGAAGAACGAAACUCGAGGUUAGACAAAGGGAAGAAUAAAGUUGAAGACUAAGUUGUUGAAUUGGACUAUAAUUGGUACCGAGGUAAGUUUAUGGUAAAUAAAUGCAAUAUUUCAAUAUUUAUUAUCAAUGCUGUUAUUUUCCAGCAACUAUGAAUUUAUUUUAUGAAUUUAUUUGAUGAUGAUCUAAGCAUGAAAUGAUAGAGAAUUAAAAUUAAAAAGUCCCGUUGAUACAUAAGGAUGGUACUGGAUACGAAUGUCAUGACAUUUGGGUAAAGAGAUCCCAUGUAAGACCAUGUCUGGGACAUGGCAUUGGCAUCCUUGAGAUCAUGAGAGGUCCCCUGUAAGACCAUGUCUGGGACAUGGCAUGGGCACCAAGACGAGAGGUCUCAUGUAAGACCAUGUCUGGGACAUGGCCUUGGCACCGAGAUGAGAGGUCCCCUAUAAGACCAUGUCUGGGACAUGGCAUGGGCACCAACAUGAGAACAUCCCAUGUAAGACCAUGUCUGGGACAUGGCUUUGGCAUGUUAUUAUCAGAAGAGACCCGAGUAUCCUUAUUAUUCCAAUGUAGCUCAACGGGCUUGUAAACGAAUCAUGUUCAUGAAAGUUCAGUUUAAAGCAUAAAUGGCAAGCUCAGGUAAGUUGUAAGACUUAAGAACUUAUUAUACUACCAAUUGAUGUUCAACGAUGCAGCAAGGAUUGAGUAAGUUAUGCACACAAGUAUUCUAAGUAAACAAGUAAGAUAACUAGUAUGAGAUUAACUAAAGAGUAAACUAGAGAUAUAGAUAUUGAGUUUAAUUAUUUAAGUUAAAUAUUGUUAUUUAUUUGCUAGUAAACUUACUAAGCUUUAUGCUUACUUCUUUUAUUUCUCUUUCUCUUAUAGUAUUGCAAAGCUACUUCAAGGAUCCUAAAGAAGUUGGAGAUCGUCCACACUAUCAACUACAACUGCUCGGUAUUUUAUAUCGAAACACGUUUGAGUUAUGGCAUGUAUAGGGAUUUAGUUAUUUUGUAUAUUUGUAAUGAUGAUUUUGCUAAUGAGUGAUGUGUAAGUAUUUGAUGAUGUAUGGUUAUUAAAAUGGUUAAGGAUGAAGGUGUUUGUUGUUAUGAAAGAUUAGGUGAUAAAUUAUGCAUGGAAAUCAUGAAAGGAUAAAAUUUUGCAAAGAAACAGAAUUCAGGCAGCAACAGUGACGUGAUUUGAAAAAUCACGCAAGAUAGUAUAAAAUGAAUUAGAGGGUGAAUAAUAUAUGGAAUUAAAGCUUGUUGAGUCUAUCUUCAUGGAAAAAUAACGGUGUAGCGAAAGGAAUUUUAUAUUUUAAGAUAUGUGAAUUUUCGUGAGACAGGGUCAGAAUAGUUUUUGGUGUCCCCUGUUUUGAGUUUAGAAAAUCAUUAAAAAUUUUACAAAAAUAGUUAUGAGUUAUAGUUUAUAUGUAUAGAUUUAUCAUUGAGUCUAUUUUCUGUAGAAACAAGUAAGAACUUCAUAUGAAAAUCCCACAGUGAGAAAAAUUAUUUUUAGUGACUAGAGGUCAGGGCAGUCAGGUGGUGAAACAGGGGAUACUUUAACUAAUAAACUGUACUAAUUUGCUGAACCAAAAAUUCUAAAAAUUUUAUGGUGAGUAGAUAUAUGAGUUUAGUUUCAUGGAAAAUUUACAGAAUUAAAUUUCGAGUUCUGUAUCUUAAGUUAUAAUUAAUUUAGUAACUGCUGCGUGAUUGGACAGAUUUGCUGCGAAUAAUGAAAUAAAAUUUCAAACCUAGUUUUUAUGCUCCGAAUUGGUAAGAUAAGCUAAGUAAUGCCUCGUGCUCGACUCCGGAAACGGUCUCGGGUAAGGGGUGUUACAUUUUGUUGGUAUCAGAGCAGGUUUAGUCGGUUCUCGGAAAUACUCAGUAAGAAUAAGAGUCUACCUAUACAUGCCAUACUUAUAUAUUUUGAUAGUGUGACGACUCCUGACGAUUUUAAAAUGUUUUCUUUUAUAGUUAUGGAUCCUGAACGAGCUAGUACAGAUGAAGUAGAGAGUAAUGCGCCUAUUCCCGCAGAAGGGACGGUGCCAUCAGAUGUUAAUGUUAGUGAAAGACCUGCAUCAGAUAGACAGGGAGGAGGAGCUAGAGAAGCCUUCUUCCAAGCCAUGACUGAUUGGUUUGCCGAGUUCGUUCGUACGAAUCCGGCUGUAAGACCUCCACCCCCUCAAGAUUCACAGGUUCCCCAUGUAGCUUCCCCAGCUGCAGGUAUAUUUAUCAGGGAGAGACCACCUGUUGAUAAGAUUAGGAAGCAAGGGGCUGAAGAAUUUCGGGCUACCAAAGAUGACGAUGCAGAAAAAGCAGAAUUCUGGCUUGAGAAUAUAAUCAGGGUUUUUGAAGAAUUAUCUUGUACACCGGAAGAAUGUAUGAAGUGUGUGGUCUCACUUCUCAGAGAUUCCGCUUAUCAUUGGUGGAAGACUCUCGUGUCUAUCAUACCGAGUGAGAGGGUUACUUGGGAUUUCUUUCAGGAGGAGUUUCGAAAGAAGUACAUCAGCCAGAGAUUUACAGAGCAGAAAAGGAAGGAGUUUCUUGAGCUAAAACAAGGUAAGAUGUCCGUGACUGAAUAUGAACGCGAAUUUGUCAGACUUAGUAAGUAUGCUCGGGAAUUUGUAUCCACCGAAGCCAACAUGUGCAAGAGAUUUGAAGAUGGGCUUAAUGAUGACAUCCGACUAUCAGUGGGUGUAUUGGAAAUCAGAGAGUUUGUUGUUCUGGUAGAAAGAGCUUGUAAAGUAGAAGACUUGUUAAAAGAAAAAGAGAAGAGCAAAGUUGAAACUGGAGCGCAGGAUACAAAGAAGAGGCAAAUGAGUAAAUCAUUUCAGUCUACAUCUAAGAGGCCUAGGGAGCUCUCUAGCGGAUCACAUUUUCCACAUAUAUAUUCUGGUCGAAGCAGAAGUAGAAGAUUCAAGGGUUUUAGAGCUCAAACCACUAUAGUUGCAAGUACUGGCAGUACUCGACCUCCUAGACCGGAAUGUCCUCAAUGUGGGAGACGCCACCCCGGAGAGUGUAGAGCAGGUGAAAAUGUUUGUUUCAGAUGUGGAGCAUCCGAUCACUUUAUUCGGGAUUGUCCUGAAACAACUAAAAGAGAAGAAAUAACGAGUGCGAGAUCAGGUAAUGCUCCUACCAGAGGUAGACCGCAGAGAAACCCAGGAGUGGGGGCAAGUAAUAGGGGUGCAUUCAAAGAUUCAGCGGUUAGAUCAGAUGUUAGAGCACCUGCAAGAUCAUAUGCUAUUCGAGCUCGUGAAGAGGCGUCCUCUCCUGAUGUAAUUGCGGGUACAUUUUCUCUCUAUGAUACUACUGUUAUUGCAUUAAUUGAUCCUGGCUCUGCACAUUCAUAUAUAUGCACAAAAUUAGCAUUUGUUAAAAAUUUGUCUGUUGAACCUACUGAAUUUAUGGUUAAAGUCUCGAACCCCCUGGGCCAGUUUGUGAUAGUGGAUAAAGUUUGUAAAAAUUGUCCACUGAUGGUAAAAGGUAUUUGUUUCCCGGUUGACUUGAUGUUAUUGCCUUUUGAUGAGUUUGAUGUGAUAUUGGGCAUGGAUUGGUUAACUCAGCAUGAUGCAGUAGUAAACUGUAGAUAAAAAUAUGUUGUGUUGAAAUGCCAGAAUGGAGAAUUACUUUGGGUUAAAUCUAAUCAGACAGAGGGAUUAUCCGAUAUGAUUUCAGUUAUGACAGCUCAGAGGUGUGUUAGAAAAGGGUAUGAUGUUUAUUUGGUGUAUGUGUUGGAUACUAAAGUAUCUGAGUCAAAGGUACAGGCAGUGCCAGUUGUAUGUGAAUUUUCUGAUGUAUUUCCAGAGGAAUUACCAGGGUUGCCACCAGAAAGAGAAGUGGAAUUUUCUAUAGAUUUGAUUCCGGGAACUGCCCCAAUUUCCAUAGCUCCGUAUCGUAUGGCUCCUACAGAAUUAAAAGAGUUAAAGGCACAGUUACAGGAACUUGUUGACAGAGGUUUUGUUCGUCCGAGUCAUUCACCUUGGGGUGCUCCAGUUCUGUUUGUGAAAAAGAAGGACGGGUCUUUGAGAUUGUGUAUUGACUAUCGGCAGCUUAAUAAGGUAACUAUAAAGAAUAAGUACCCAUUGCCUCGAAUUGAUGACUUAUUUGAUCAACUGAAAGGUGCCACAGUAUUUUCAAAGAUUGAUCUCCGAUCGGGUUAUUAUCAGUUACGGGUAAAAGAGCCAGAUGUGCCAAAUACAGCUUUCAGAACCAGGUAUGGGCAUUAUGAGUUUCUGGUUAUGCCGUUUGGGUUGACUAAUGCACCUGCAGUAUUCAUGGAUUUGAUGAACCGGAUAUUUAGACCGUAUCUAGAUAGGUUUGUAGUAGGUUUUAUUGAUGACAUUUUAGUUUAUUCUCGGGAUGAAACUGAGCAUGCAGAACAUUUGAAAAUAGUGUUGCAAAUUCUGCGUGAAAAGAAACUUUAUGCUAAAUUCAGUAAAUGUGAAUUUUGGCUUCGAGAGGUAGGCUUUCUCGGACAUAUUGUAUCCACAGAAGGCAUCAGGGUAGAUCCGAGUAAAAUUUCAGCUAUUGUCAAUUGGAGUCCACCGAAGAAUGUAUCUGAAGUUAGAAGUUUCUUGGGUUUAGCUGGUUAUUAUCGGAGAUUUGUACAAGGGUUUUCUAUGAUAGCUUCUCCAAUGACCCGUUUAUUACAGAAAGAUGUUAAAUUUGAAUGGACAGAAAAAUGCCAGCAAAGUUUCGACCGAUUGAAGGAGUUGUUAACGAAAGCACCUGUGUUGGUACAGCCUGAAUCGGGUAAGGAAUUUAUUAUUUAUAGUGAUGCAUCAUUAAAUGGUUUGGGUUGUGUUUUGAUGCAAGAAGAUAAAGUAAUAGCCUAUGCUUCAAGACAACUUAAGCCACAUGAAAGAAACUACCCGGUACAUGAUCUCGAGUUAGCUGCUAUUGUAUUUGCAUUGAAAAUAUGGCGGCAUUAUUUGUAUGGUGAAAAGUGUCAUAUUUAUACUGAUCACAAAAGCUUGAAAUAUUUGAUGACACAGAAAGAUUUGAAUUUGAGACAACGCAGGUGGCUUGAAUUGAUAAAGGAUUAUGAUUUGGUUAUUGAUUACCAUCCGGGUAAGGCUAACGUGGUAGCUGAUGCUUUGAGUCGAAAAUCUCUAUUUGCUUUACGAGCUAUGAAUACCCGGUUGUCACUGUAUAAUGAUGGUUCAAUCAUAGCUGAAUUGAGAGCUAAAUCGACAUUUCGUCAACAAAUAUGUGAAGCUCAGAGGAAUGAUGAGAAAUUACAGGCUAAACGGGUGCAUUGUGAGUCAGGUAAUGAUUCAGAAUUUCAGAUUGGAACUGAUGGUUGUUUAUUAUUCAGAGGCAGAGUAUGUGUACCGAAGAAUUCAGAACUUGUACAGAAGAUUUUACACGAAGCACACAGUGGUAUUAUGUCCGUACAUCCGGGAGGUAAUAAAAUGUAUAAUGACUUAAAAAAAGAUGUAUUGGUGGCCGGAUAUGAAACGUGAUAUCUCUGAGUUUGUAUCAAGAUGUUUAGUAUGUCAGCAGGUUAAGGCUGAACAUCAGGUACCUUCGGGGUUGCUUCAGCCAAUCACUAUACCGGAAUGGAAAUGGGAAAGAAUCACUAUGGAUUUUGUAUCUGAGUUACCGUUAUCUCCGAGGAAGAAAGAUGCCAUUUGGGUAAUUGUCGAUCGAUUGACAAAGUCCGCGCACUUUAUCCCAGUAUGUAUGGAUUAUUCUUUAGAUAAAUUGGCUGGAUUGUAUAUAUCUGAGAUUGUUAGACUACAUGGAGUGCCUGUCUCCAUUAUAUCAGACAGAGAUUCCCUAUUUACGUCUCGUUUCUGGAACAAAUUGCAAGAAGCUUUGGGUACUCAGUUGUAUUUCAGUACUGCAUUUCAUCCUCAGACAGAUGGCCAAUCUGAGCGUGUAAUUCAGGUAUUGGAAGAUAUGCUCCGAUGUUGUGCAUUAGAGUUUCAAGGUAAUUGGGAAAGGUAUCUACCUUUGAUUGAAUUUGCUUAUAAUAACAGUUAUCAGUCCAGUAUUAAAAUGGCUCCGUAUGAAGCUUUGUAUGGUAGAAAAUGUAGAACACCAUUAUAUUGGACAGAGCUCAGUGAAAAGAAGAUACACGGGGUUGAUUUGAUUCGGGAAACAGAAGAAAAAGUAAGACUGAUUCGGGAUAGUUUAAAAGCAGCUUCCGAUCGUCAAAAGUCAUACGCCGAUCUUAAAAGAAGGGAGAUUGAAUUUCAGGUGGGUGAUAAAGCAUUCUUAAAAGUGUCUCCUUGGAAGAAAGUUCUCCGGUUCGGUCGAAAGGGUAAAUUGAGUCCAAGAUUUAUCGGACCAUAUGAGAUUAUAGAAAGAAUUAGACCAGUUGCUUACCGAUUGGCUUUACCACCGGAACUCGACAAAAUUCAUAAUGUAUUUCAUGUAUCUAUGCUACGACGGUAUCGAUCAGAUCCUUCACAUGUUAUUACUCCAACAGAAGUAGAAAUUCAGCCGGAUAUGACUUAUAAUGAAGAACCGGUUAAAGUAUUAGCACGAGAAAUAAAGGAGCUUAGAAACAAAAAGGUAAAUCUAGUGAAAGUGCUAUGGCAAAAGCACGGGAUUAAGGAAGCAACAUGGGAACCGGAAGAGACAACGAGGAAGCAAUACCCGAAUCUUUUUACUGGUAAGAUUUUCGAGGACGAAAAUCCUAAAAAGGGGGGGAGAGUUGUAAUGGCCCAAAUUUGAGGUUAUCGGAACAGUGGUUUCGGGACCACAAAUUCGAUGAGAAAAAUUUUAUUUUUCUUAUAUUUUUAUGGUCUACAAUUUCACAAAAUGAUUUUUUGAAAAUUUCGUUCGAAAAUUUCGACGUUUGGGCACUCAAUUUAGUCAAAAGGACUAAAUUGUAAAAAGUGCAAAAGUUGAGUUCUACAUGUUAGAGGUGUCCAAUUGUUAUGAAACUUUAAAUUGGAGGUCCUUAUAUGGUAAUUAUACCAUUGGUAACUUGGUAGACAAAAAUGGACAUGAGAUAAGUGAAAUAGAAAAUUUUUAAGUUAGGGGCAAUUUGGUAAUCUAGUAAUUAAAAUGAAUUAAAAGGGAAAAGGAUGGCAAAAAUCAUCAUCUUCUUCAUAUGAACGAAAUCAGCAAGGGGGGAAGCCAUAGUUAGGGUUUUCAAGCUUCCAAGCUCCAUAGUAAGUGAUCCCAAGCCCCGUUUUUAAUGUUCUUUACGUUUUUGAGAUCCCGGUAGCUUAAUUUAGCUUAUUCUAGCAAUAAUUUAACCUAGGGUUUAUAUUUGGAAAAAUACCCAUAGGUGAAAAGUGUUUAUUUUGAUGUUUUAUGAUAGAAUAUGAAGCUAUAAAUUAUGUUAAACAACUUUUGCUAAGCGAUUUUAAGUGAAAACGAGUAAAACGACAUAAUCGGUAAAAAUACCUAAUGUUCAUAAGUACAUGUUAGAGUGGGAAUUUGAUGUUGCCAUAGAAGGGAAAAAUGUUCAGAAUGUUAUAAAACAUAAGAAUAAGAGAUGAAGUUUAAUUUCCGAGCCUUGGGGCAAAAAUGUAAUUAUGUAAAAGUUUAGGGGCAAAAUUGUAAUUUUGAAAAAGUUAGAGUUGAGGGCUGUUUUGAUGAAUGUGAGAAUUAAAUAAGUUAAAUUUGCUAUUUUAGAUCAAGAAGAACGAAACUCGAGGUUAGACAAAGGGAAGAAUAAAGUUGAAGACUAAGUUGUUGAAUUGGACUAUAAUUGGUACCGAGGUAAGUUUAUGGUAAAUAAAUGCAAUAUUUCAAUAUUUAUUAUCAAUGCUGUUAUUUUCCAGCAACUAUGAAUUUAUUUUAUGAAUUUAUUUGAUGAUGAUCUAAGCAUGAAAUGAUAGAGAAUUAAAAUUAAAAAGUCCCGUUGAUACAUAAAGAUGGUACUGGAUACGAAUGUCAUGACAUUUGGGUAAAGAGAUCCCAUGUAAGACCAUGUCUGGGACAUGGCAUUGGCAUCCUUGAGAUCAUGAGAGGUCCCCUGUAAGACCAUGUCUGGGACAUGGCAUGGGCACCAAGACGAGAGGUCCCAUGUAAGACCAUGUCUGGGACAUGGCCUUGGCACCGAGAUGAGAGGUCCCCUAUAAGACCAUGUCUGGGACAUGGCAUGGGCACCAACAUGAGAACAUCCCAUGUAAGACCAUGUCUGGGACAUGGCUUUGGCAUGUUAUUAUCAGAAGAGACCCGAGUAUCCUUAUUAUUCCAAUGUAGCUCAACGGGCUUGUAAACGAAUCAUGUUCAUGAAAGUUCAGUUUAAAGCAUAAAUGGCAAGCUCAAGUAAGUUGUAAGACUUAAGAACUUAUUAUACUACCAAUUGAUGUUCAACGAUGCAGCAAGGAUUGAGUAAGUUAUGCACACAAGUAUUCUAAGUAAACAAGUAAGAUAACUAGUAUGAGAUUAACUAAAGAGUAAACUAGAGAUAUAGAUAUUGAGUUUAAUUAUUUAAGUUAAAUAUUGUUAUUUAUUUGCUAGUAAACUUACUAAGCUUUAUGCUUACUUCUUUUAUUUCUCUUUCUCUUAUAGUAUUGCAAAGCUACUUCAAGGAUCCUAAAGAAGUUGGAGAUCGUCCACACUAUCAACUACAACUGCUCGGUAUUUUAUAUCGAAACACGUUUGAGUUAUGGCAUGUAUAGGGAUUUAGUUAUUUUGUAUAUUUGUAAUGAUGAUUUUGCUAAUGAGUGAUGUGUAAGUAUUUGAUGAUGUAUGGUUAUUAAAAUGGUUAAGGAUGAAGGUGUUUGUUGUUAUGAAAGAUUAGGUGAUAAAUUAUGCAUGGAAAUCAUGAAAGGAUAAAAUUUUGCAAAGAAACAGAAUUCAGGCUGCAACAGUGACGUGACUUUGAAAAAUCACGCAAGAUAGUAUAAAAUGAAUUAGAGGGUGAAUAAUAUAUGGAAUUAAAGCUUGUUGAGUCUAUCUUCAUGGAAAAAUAACGGUGUAGCGAAAGGAAUUUUAUAUUUUAAGAUAUGUGAAUUUUCGUGAGACAGGGUCAGAAUAGUUUUUGAGUUUAGAAAAUCAUUAAAAAUUGUAAAAAAAUAGUUAUGAGUUAUAGUUUAUAUGUAUAGAUUUCUCAUUGAGUCUAUUUUCUGUAGAAACAAGUAAGAACUUCAUAUGAAAAUUCUACAGUGAGAAAAAUUAUUUUUAGUGACUAGAGGUCAGGGCAGUCAGGUGGUGAAACAGGGGAGACUUUAACUAAUAAACUGUACUAAUUUGAUGAACCAAAAAUUCUAAAAAUUUUAUGGUGAGUAUAUAUAUGAGUCUAGUUUCAUGGAAAAUUUACGGAAUUAAAUUUCGAGUUCUGUAGCUCAAGUUAUAAUUAAUUUAGUAACUGCUGCGCGAUUGGACAGAUUUGCUGCGAAUAAUGAAAUAAAAUUUCAAACCUAGUUUUUAUGCUCCGAAUUGGUAAGAUAAGCUAAGUAAUGCCUCGUGCUCGACUCCGGAAAUGGUCUCGGGUAAGGGGUGUUACACACGCCAAUUCCCAUGUCGUACAGGGAACUAUACCGAAAUUUAUUUGACGCACACGUAGUUUCCCCUUUUUAUCUGAAGCCCUUGCAACCCCUGUAUCCCAAAUGGUACGAUGCAAAUGCACAGUGCGAUUAUCAUGCGGGAAUAACGGGGCAUUCUACAAAAAACUGUACGGCUUUUAAGAAGUUGGUUGAAAGGCUCAUUGGUAUGGGAGUCGUUAAAUUUGACGACGCGACCAAGGCAGAAAAUCCAUUACCAGACCACACUGAUGGUGGGGUAAAUAUGGUGGGCGAAGACAGAAGAAUCAAGGCAGAUAUUGCGGAUGUAAAGACUCCUUUGAGAAGGGUCUGGAAGGAGAUGGUGAAAAGGGGACUAAUCGUCUCAGAAGAAAGCUGUGAAAGGAAGAGGAAUUACUGUGAGUUCCACCAUGAAGUGGGGCAUGAAAUCCAAGAAUGUACGGAGUUCAGAGCCCUGAUACAAGGCAUGAUGGACAAUUGGGAGGUGAAAUUCUGUGAAGGAGUUCAAGAGGAAAGUGAUGUAUGCGCAUCAGAGUUGGCGUUGGGGGUCCCAAAGGUUAACCGUCCCGUGGUCAUCAUUUCGCGACCUCAGAACAGUGAGGUUGGGGCACGAAUAACACCAAAGGUUAUCAUUCAAAAACCGACCGUGUUCACUUACAAGGAUAACAGGAGGGUUCCUUGGAAUUACAAUUGUAAUGUGACAAUCCCGGGGAAAAAGGAUAUGGUCAGUAAAGAGGAUCAGGAUAAAGGAAGGUACUGCGAACAGAUGAAAGAUCGAGUCGAGCCAAUAGGAGAGGAAACUUUAGUUGGAAAAAAGAAGAACGUGGUCAAACCCGAAUUGUUGGUCAAUGAACCAAUUAAGGAGGAGGAAACUAGAGAAUUCUUGAAGUAAAGCAUAGCGAGUACAGCGUUGUGGAGCAGCUGCACAAACAACCAGCUCGCAUAUCUGUGCUGGCUUUACUCCUGAACUCGGAGGGACAUCGAAAUGCACUACUGAAGGUGCUAAAUGAAACUUACGUGGCCGAUGAUAUCUCUGUUAACAAGUUAGAUCGACUGGUCAGCAAUAUAAGCGCUGAUAACUUCAUCUCUUUCAGCGAUGACGAAAUACCACCUGGGGGCAUGGGAUCAACCCGAGCUUUACACAUCACUGCAAGGUGUAAAUAGUGUAUAUUACCGGGAGUUUUGGUAGACAACGGGUCGGCGUUAAAUGUAUUGCCCCUAUCCACGCUCAACAGGCUACCUGUGGAUAGUUCGCAUAUGAAAUCGUGUCAGAACGUGGUGAGAGCAUUUGAUGGCACCGAGAGGAAAGUCAUGGGUAGAAUUGAGAUACCCUUGUUAAUUGGCCCAACUGUCUAUGAGGUAGAUUUCUUGGUUAUGGACAUCAAGCCUUCUUAAAGUUGCCUAUUAGGAAGGUCUUGGAUCCAUUCAGCAGGUGCGGUAUCGUCAUCGUUACAUCAAAAACUGAAGCUAGUGUCAGAAGGCCGGGUAGUGACGAUAGAUACUGAAGAGGAUAUCAUUGCAUCUGUGACUAACGAUGUACCUUAUUUGGAGAUGAGUGAUGAUACAAUCGAUUGCUCUUUCCGUUCCUUAGAGUUCGUAAAUGCAACAUUCAUCUUUGAGGGAAACAAGAUCCCGAUGCCGAGAAUAUCAAAGACUACAAAGAUGGGGCUGCAAUUGACAGUUGGAAAAGGAACUCUGCCAGGGAAAGGUUUGGGGAGAUAUCUUUAGGGCCGAGUUGAUAUUCCAGGGUUGCAAGACAAGCGGGACCGUUUUGGCUUAGGAUACAAGCCAGAUGUCAGGCAGAGGAGGAUAGAGCAAGAAAAGAAGCGAGAGAGAAGAAGGGCUCGUUUGACAGGUGAUGAAGUCAAAUGGGAAACCAUGACUUUUCCUCACCUAUCCAAGACUUUUGUAUCAAGAGGAUUUGUCUAUCAAGGAAUGCUAGGGGACAGAAGCAUUAACACGUAGUUAGAGGGUAUUCAUGCCGUGUAUGAAGAAGCGACGGGAGGAAGAACUUUGCUGGAUAUUUGUCCUUAUGAGUCGGAAAGGGAGCUAAACAACUGGACUGCAGAAGAAAUACCUGUAGUUUUUAGGAUUUCCUCAGAGUAAUGUCCAGAACACCCUUAUUGCUUUUUAGCCUAGAAGUGAUAAGGAUUCUUUUAUGAAAUAGGCUCAUGUCCAGAAAAUCGUUAUUUUAAUAAAGUUCAUGUUUUUCAGUCAUUUUUUGAAGCAAAUCUUUCUUUUCAUAAGAGCAGUUAUUUUGAAUUUCUCUCAAACUACACUUGUAUUUCAUUCAUGACCAUAUUGCACCAAACAAAUUCCUAAAUCCAUACUGUUCUUCAUAACAGGUCCUACGAUAUCAAUGAUACGAAUGUCACUCUUACAAAUUCAGAAUCCCCUUUUGAACGAAACAUGUGUUUAGAGGGGUCGCAUGAUUUUGAAGAUGUCGAAGACUGUGGUUUAUCUCCGGGCUUAUUGAAAAUGGUUAAACAGGCCGAGAAGCAAAUCUUACCUCAUAAGGAAUCAAUAGAAAUUGUGAGCUUGGAGGAAGGUAAAGAGGUGAAGAUCGGGUCGGAUAUCUCUGCAAAGACAAAACAAGACCGCAUCGAAUUACUCCGAGAGUUCAAGGACGUGUUAGCAUGGUCAUACCAGGAUAUGCCGGGGUUGAGUACCGACAUCGUAGUCCAUUGUCUUCCUAUAAGAGAAGAUUGCAAGCUAGUGCAGCAAAAGCUCAGAAGGAUGAGGCCUGAUAUCGUGUUGAAGAUAAAGGAGGAGGUCCAAAAGCAGUUUGAUGCCGGAUUUCUGCAAGAGGUCAAGUAUUCUGAGUGGGUGGCCAACAUCGUACCAGUUCCGAAGAAAGACGGGAAGGUGCGAAUGUGUGUGGAUUACAGGGAUUUGAACAAGGCUAGUCCAAAUGACAAUUUUUCAUUGCCCCACAUUGACACAUUGGUAGAUAAUACUACGGGCUUUUCAUUAUUUUCCUUCAUGGAUGGCUUUUCGGGGUACAAUCAGAUAAAGAUGCAUCCUGAAGACAUGAGAAAAACUACGUUCAUUACGUUAUGGGGGACGUUUUGUUAUAAAGUGAUGCCGUUUGGAUUAAAGAAUGCGGGAGCGACAUAUCAAAGAGCUAUGGUAGCCUUGUUCCAUGAUAUGAUGCACAGGGAGAUCGAAGUUUAUGUUGACGAUAUGAUCGCGAAGUCCAGAACGGAGGAGGAACAUGUGCAGGUCUUGAGAAAAUUAUUCUUAAGAUUGAGAAAGUUCCAGCUCAAGCUUAAUCCGGUGAAUUGCAUUUUUGGGGCUAGGUCAGGAAAAUUGUUAGGCUUUGUGGUCAGUGAAAAGGGAAUCGAGAUUGAUUCAGACAAAGUGAAGGCAAUACGGGAUUUACCUUCACCCCGCACUCAGAAAGAAGUUCGAGGAUUCCUCGGAAGACUGAACUACAUUGCUAGGUUCAUUUCACAACUAACCAAGAAAUGUGACUCUAUAUUUCGUCUUCUGAAGAAACAUAAUCCUGGUACUUGGGAUGAAGAAUGCGAAGAAGCCUUUAACAAGGUGAAGCAGUAUUUGUCUAAUACUCCAGUGCUGUCACCACCUAGCCCGGAUAGGCCCCUGAUAUUGUAUUUGACAGUAUUUGAUAAUUCCAUGGAGUGUGUGCUAGGCCAACAUGAUGAAACAGGGAGAAAAGAAAGGGCAAUAUAUUAUCUCAGCAAGAAAUUCACUGACUGUGAAAUGAGAUAUUAACCUAUUGAGAAGCUAUGUUGUGCCUUGAUUUGGACAACUCGGAGAUUAAGACAGUAUAUGUUAUACCACACGACUUGGCUAAUCUCAAAGUUAGACCCGUUAAAGUAUAUGAUGGAGUCAACUGCUUUGAAUGGGAUGAUGGCUCGAUGGCAGAUCUUAUUGUCUGAAUUUGAUAUUGUCUAUGUGAGCCAAAAGGCUGUGAAAGGGAGUGCAAUUGCUGACUUUCUGGCUAGCAGGGCUUUGGAAGAUUACGAAUCGUUAAGUUUUGAUUUUCCGAAUGAAGACCUGAUGUGUAUAGCCACUACUGAAGAAAAUCCCCAAAAAGGCCGCAGUUGGAAGCUAAACUUUGAUGGAGCCUCGAAUACUGUGGGCAAUGGAAUUGGGGCAGUCUUAGUAUCCCCGAAUGGUGAUCAUUAUCCUUUCACUUGCAAAUUGGAUUUUGAUUGUACAAACAACAUGGCAAAGUACGAAGCAUGCAUCAUGGGGAUUCGUGCAGCUAUAGAGCGAAGAGUCAAAGUGUUAUAGGUCUAUGGAGAUUCGGCAUUGGUGAUAUAUCAGCUCAGGGGUGAAUGGGAAACGAGAGAUCCCAAAUUAGUCAGUUAUCGAAAGUUGGUCCUCGAAUUGAUUAAGGAGUUUGAGGACAUCACUUUUUGCUAUCUCCCACGAGACGAGAACCAGAUGGCUUAUGCACUAGCUACUUUAGCCUCCAUGAUCAAGGUGAACAGAUAUGAGGAUAUGAAGCCAAUCCAAAUGAGUAUCUAUGAAGACCCGACUCAUUGUUACAAUAUUAAAAAAGGAGAAAUCGAUGAUAGUCCUUGGUAUCAAGAUAUACUACGAUAUGUAAAAAAUCGUGAGUAUCCUGGCCAAGCAACAGAGAAUGAAAAGAGAACUCUGAGAAGAUUAGCCAUUGAUUACGUCUUAGAUGGGGAGAUCUUAUACAAGAGGGGAAAAGAUCAGGUUCUGUUAAGAUGUGUGGACGCCGUGGAAGCAAAGAAAAUCCUGGAGGAAGUCCAUGAGGGCAUCUGCGGAACGCAUGCUAGUGGAUUCACAAUGGCUAGACAGAUUAUGAGAUUCGAGUAUUACUGGUCCACCAUGGAAGGGGAUUGCGUCAGUUAUUCCAAAAAGUGCCAUAAAUGUCAAAUCUAUGGUGAUAAAAUGCAUGCACCACCUUCGCCUCUUCAUGUCAUGACUUCUCCAUGGCCUUUCUCCAUGUGAGGUAUGGAUGUCAUCGGGUCAAUAUCGCCGAAGGCUUCAAAUGGGCAUCGUUUCAUAUUCGUGGUUAUUGACUACUUCACCAAAUGGGUAGAGGCUGCUUCGUAUGCUAACGUUACAAAGUCAUCAGUCAGUAAGUUCUUGAAAAGAGAGAUUAUAUGUCGGUAUGGAAUGCCUGAGAGAAUCAUAUCCGACAAUGCGUUGAACUUGAACAAUAGCUCAAUAGCAGAAGUCUGCAGUCAAUUCAAGAUCAGACAUCGCAAUUCGUCGUCGUAUCGCCCGAAAAUGAAUGGUGCAGUAGAAGCGGCCAAUAAAAAUAUAAAGAGGAUUGUAGGGAAUAUGACUGAGACUUACAGGGACUGGCACGAUAAAUUACCGUUUGCCCUCCUUGCUUAUCGAACGUCAACCAGGACCUCCACCGGGGCAACGCCUUUCUCCUUAGUCUAUGGCAUGGAGGCAGUCUUGCCCAUCGAAGUUUAAAAAUCCCUUCUCUCUGGGUUUUUUCUGAGCUACAAUUGGAUUAAGCGGAAUGGGUUCAAUCUCGAUACGAUCAGUUGAACUUGAUAGAGGGAAAGAGGCUAAAGGCUAUUCAGCAUGGUCAGAUGUACCAGAAAAGAAUGAUGCGAGCCUACAACAAGAAAGUCCGACCCAGAGAAUUUCACGAGGGGGACCUGGUGUUGAGAAAAAUUCUUCCUCUACAAAAGGAUUUUAGGGGGAAAUGGAUGCCGAAUUGGGAAGGUCCUUAUGUUGUAAAAAAGGCCUUUUCUGGAGGAGCCUUGAUCCUGGCUGAAAUGGAUGGAAAAAACUUGCCUAAUCCGGUAAAUUCAGAUUCGAUGAAGAGGUACUUUACUUGAAGAAAGGAAGGAACCAAUGUGAAAACCCGCAAAGGGCGCUUUGAUUCCAAAAAAAAAAUGGAGAGGCUAGGGUGAAAACCCGCAAAGGGCACCUUAAGACCAAAGGGGAUUUGAGUUGAAAACCCAAAAAAGGCGACUCAAAUUUUGAUUGUCGCGUGGUAGUAUUGUUGUACCUAAAUCGGCAGAAAGGAAUAGACGACAUCUUGGGGCAUCAACAAAAUACUGUGAAUUUCCUAAACACGUGUUGAAUUCAGAAGGGUCUUCGAAAAGCUGUAUAGAGAAGUUCAAGCAGAGAUAUCUGGGGCACAUGUUCAUAAUAUUUGUAUUGAAUUCAUUGUUUUAGAAUAUUUCAUUCUUUUCUUUCAAUAUAAAUAUCCCCAGAUAAUUCCUCUAUCAUUGACAAUCCAUCGCGAGUUAUGCUCCCAGAUUAAUUUUGUUUUAUUCGUCGUUAUGAUCUUCUCGCAAGCAUGUUGCAUUAGAAUGACGAUUAAUGGACUAGUAAAACUUUCACAAGGGAAGUUUUCGUAUUACUCUAGAAAUCUUUAAAUAGCUCAGGAACCUGAAACAGGACUAUUGUUUAGACCUUUAUCGGGUUAAAAGGUCGGAGAUAUCUAGGAGUUAAGAGUCAAAAUUGAAAUUUUCAAGUUUUGACGAAGCGUUGUUGUCACAAAGGAAGCCUUAAUGAGCAAUAAUGACUUUAAACAUUCAAUAUUCAUUUUUCAUGACAUAACAUCCAAAUGUCAUUCAUACACGCCUAGUUAGGAGCAUUUGAUUCAUUCUGAUCAUGACAUCCUAGUCAUUAGGCAUAAUUAGGCUCAUAAAGUGAAUCAUACAGGUCAUGUUUCACAGGGAGCAGAUUGGUGAAAUCAUAAAGCCUUGUCUCCCUGAGCAACAGUGGAGCAGGUUGAAAAGCAGCAGAUCUUGCCUUCCCACACUGGUGGCGAAGCAGAUCAAAGAAAGUAGAUCUUGUCUUCAUGUACUGGCAUGAAGUAGAUCAAAGGUAACAGAUCUUGCCUUCCCAUACUAGUGGCGAAGCAGAUCAAAGGAAAAAACAGAUCUUGUCUUCAUGUACUGGCGUGAAGUAGAUCAAAGACAUCAGGUCCUGUCUUCCUAUAUCGGUAGCGAAGUGGAUCGAAUAUACAAGUUUUAUCUUCCCAUACUGGUGGCGAAGUAGAUCGAGGAAAACAGAUCUUAUCUCCCUAAGCAGUAGUGGAGCAGAUCGAAGAUGGCAGAUUUUACCUCCCUGAAGUGGCAGUAGAGUAUAUUGAAGCCAGUAAUUCUAUCUCCCCAUACUGGUGGUGGAGUAUAUUGAAGAAAGCAGAUCUUGUCUUCACGUACUGGCAUGAAGUAGAUCAAAGAAAGCAGAUCUUGUCUUCCCACACUGGUGGUGAAGUAGAUCGAAGAUACAAGUCUUAUCUCCCUGAAGUUGCAGUGGAGCAGACAAAAGUAACCAAUCCUAUCUCCUUGAAGUUGCAAUGGAGUGGAUUAAAACCGCAGAUCUCAUCUCUCUGAAGUUGCAGUAGAGUAGAUCACAUCAGAUUUACCCUUAAGUCGUAACAAAGCAAAUUGAAUCUAUAAGUCUUAUCUUCCUGAAGUUGCAGUGGAGCAGAUUAAAGAUAGCAGAUUUUGUUCUUUUGAGAAGAUACAACAUAUGAAUCCUAUCUCCCCGACAUUCCAGUGGGGUGGACUGGAGCGCCAGUUCCUAUACCUUUGAAGAUGCAGUAGGAAGGAAUGAGGUUACUUAAAGAAUAGAAGCAUUAAAGAAGCUGGGGCUCAAUAAGACUGGGCACAAUUGGGCUUUGUAGUCUUUGCUCUAUUCCCGUUAUACGACAAUGAGCAAAGAGGGGCAGCUGUAAUAGGGCCCAAUUGACCCAGGUCCAAACAAAAUUAAAAAACAGUCCAACAAAUACAGGCCCAAAACUAACCUAAACCCCAAAUCAUUAAACCAAACCCCAAAACAACCCUGGCCCAAAAAAAAAGAAAGAACCCUAGCCCUAAGGAGCGCCGCAGCAAGCCUUCAGGUGCGCCCAGCAGCCUCGCGUCGCACCUAACACCCAGUCGCCGCACAACUCGGAGGUCGACCCUUCUCCACGCACGUCACCUGCGAAAACACGGACUUAGAGAGUCCCAGAGAGAAGAAGCAGCAAAAAACAGCAUUUAGAUUAUUUUAUUUUCUUUAUUUUCGACCUAUAAAAGGCCUAUCAAAUCUGAAAAAGAGGGGGGGAUAUACAGAGAGAUAGACAAAAAAAUUGAAAGAAAAGCAGAGAAUACACAGUUUUAAGGUGAAUCGAGUUUUUUUUUAUAUUUAUGUUUUCUUCUCUUUUUUUGCGUUUAAAAAAAAACAAAUAAUAACAAAGAAAAGGGGAAAAAUUUUACCCCAUUCACCGAGGACGCCAGACUGGUGGCCGUUUCCGUCGUGAUCGGAGCGCCGGUGUGGGCCUAGGGCGGCGCGAGGACGCUAGGGUCCCAAGCCCUAGCAGAGCAUUAGAGAAACGUUUUUUUAUUUUUAUUUUUU